rnacentral:piRNA from 1 species
UGAUGAGUGCUGUGGUCAUUUGGAAC